UACGUAGGGAGCGAGCGUUGUCCGGCUUUAUUGGGCGUAAAGAGCUCGUAGGCGGUUUGGUAAGUCGGGUGUGAAAGCUCCGGGCUCAACUCGGAGAGGUCACUCGAUACUGCCAUGACUGGAGUCCGGUAGGGGGGUGUGGAAUUCCCAGUGUAGCGGUGAAAUGCGCAGAUAUCAGGAGGAACACCGGUGGCGAAGGCGGUUCUCUGGGCAUUACCUGACGCUGAGGAGCGAAAGUGUGGGGAGCGAACAGG
rnacentral:rRNA from 1 species